CACAAGAGGGGCGAGGAAGCAGAAUGGCAGGUGUAGCAUGCCCACCAUGCUCCCAUCCUGUACUCCCAAAGCUGUAGCUUGCUCUUCACCAGGCCCUCACUCAUGGCGGGCCCCAAGGUCCUUGUUCCCAUGAUACAGAAGAACAAAGCUCAGGUAGGUAUAGUCACAUGCCCAGGAGUGGAGCUACAGUUCAUAGCUACCUACUCAUGCUUAGGUCUUAAGACCAUCACAGAUGUGGCUACUUGUCCGGUAAUAUUUACUCUUCUUCUGAUUUUCAGAGCUAGACUCUGCCGUGGUUCAUCUGACACAGGGCUUCCCCGGGGAGCUCUGCUCCCUCACCUCCCUACAGUGAGGUGUGGCCAUAGGAUCUAGGUAAAAGUGCCAGGUAUAGCCUUGAGUUGCCUCUCGAUCUCUAGCCUGGUGGGUCAACCUCACCCAGCAGAGGAAAGUCAUGGCCUAGAGAUGGCAGGAUGGCAGAGCAGAGAGAGAGAGAGAGAGAGAGAGAGAGAGAGAGAGAGAGAGAGAGAGAGAGAGAGAGAGAGAGAGACCCAGUCUCCUCAGCGUUUCCACUGUAUCUCUCCUCCAGCUGCAAUUCUUAGGAUAAAACAAACCUUUCCCGUUCAGAUCACCACUUCAGAGCAGGGCAAACCCAUGCUCUGCUCUCAACAGCCUUAUGGAAGGUACAUCCACAGCUUGGUGCUUGAGAAAGAGCAGGCUUUUGUUCCUGUGUCCAGAGCCGUGGGCUUGCACACAUGCCCCUGUGGCACCACGUGGAGCCGAGGGGAAGAACUUGCACCCUACUCUGUGCUGACUUCAUCCCGCAGAGGAGGCACUCUCCUGGCCCACGAUGCUAGCCAUGAACUGGGGCACGUUCAGAGGCGUUGGCUCCAGCUGGCAGUCCUUUCCAGUUCAGCCAUCUCAUCCUUCAUCUGCAUUUCUUAUGCUUUCUACCCUCAAGCUUCCCCAGGCCCUGCCAUCCUUGAGAAAAAUCUAACAAACCAAACACCCUCCCACACUUUCUCCAGUCUCAGUCCUGUGUGGUCUGAAUCCUUGACCCUGUGUUCUGUCCAUUCUAUCCCUCACCCGCUUUCUAGCCAAAUUCUUGUAGUGUUACCCUCCGAUCCCCUCUCCCUCCAUCUGUGCAGAAAACACAGCUUAAGACAGGCUCCUCACUGAAAUGGCUGACAGGGCUUGUAGAUAUUUUCUGUUUCACUUGAGGGUGCAAUUACAAAGAGCACCACUCUCCCAUGUGGACUUCCAGCCCAAACCACACCACCUACACCCCUUGGCUUUCACUCCGACCUUGACUUGAUCAAGGAGGCCCUUGCCUUGGCCCUGAGAUACCACGAGUGUCCAUGUGUGAAGGCCACGGUUAAAAUUAGCCAUACCCACCACAGUGGCCUUCCUCAGCUUUCGCAUCCACAGGAAGAGCUGACCUCUGCCCUCCCCUUCACUUGGCACACAUCCUGGGAGCUAGCAGAAUUGUCAAGGCAGCCUAUGGUUUUAGAAUUCUGCCGACUCAGUGAGACAGUGGUUUCUUUGAAGCAAUAGGACAUUGGUGUAUGCCGAAGCUGAGAAAACAGCUCCAGGCAAGGGAAUGGCAUGUGUUUUCUAUUGCAUCUGUGACAAAUUACCACAGGUUUAUUUUGUAUGGUCCCGGAGGUUAGAUGUCCGAAAUUAAUUUCCUGGGGCCAGUCAAGGUGUUGGAAGGGCUGCUUUCUUAAGGUGCCACACAGUGGGAUCAGGAUCUACCCCUGGUGCAUGAGCUGGCUUUCUGGAGCCCAUUUCCUACGGUGGGACGCCUUGCUCAGCCUUGAGGCAGGGGGGAGGGGCUUGGUCCUGCCUCAACUGAAUGUAUCAGGCUUUGCUGCCUCCCCACAGGAGGCCUUAACCUUCUGGAGGAGGGGAUGGAGGGUGGGUGGGUGGGGGAGGCUGGGGAGAGAGCAGGAGAAGGGAUGAGAGGGGGAUCUGUGGUUAGUAUGUAAAAUGAAUAAAAAAUUUUUCUUAAAUAAAUAAAAAAAGAAGGUGCCACAUAGAAACUGUUCCGGGCCUUUUUCAGAUUCCAGUGGUCACCUUUACUCCUGGGUUUGUGACCCCCCCCCCCCAUCUUCUAUCGCUCCAUCUGCUUCUGACUUUCCAGUGCUUUCUCCUCUCUAAUCUUCCUUAAUCCCUCUCAUUUGAUAACCUUUGUAAUUACGUCGGCCCCACCCACAUAACCCAGGACACUCGCCCACUUCCAGAACUUUAAUCUAGUCAGAAUCGUAAGUCCUUUCUGCCACGUGAGGCAACAGUCACAGGAACCAAGGGUCACAACAUAGAUUCGGCCUACCACAGAGUCCUUAAGAGUCCCAGGCAGAGAGUCAGUCAACUUUCUGUUACUAUAAUCAAUACCAGGGAUGAAUCAAUUUAGAACGCAGAAAGGUUUAUCUCAGUUCAUAGCUUCGUAGAUUUCAAGUCAUGACCUGUGGGCUGUGUUGCUUGGGCCCGUGAUGACACAAACUAUCCAGUUACUUUGUGGUCAGUAAUAAAACAGAGAAAGGGGGAGACCAGUCACCCGUAGCCUUCCUCUGGAACAUAUCCCUAAUGAACUUAAGCCUUCCAUUAGGUUUUACCACCUUCCAACUGUUCCACACAGAGUCUGACAUCACUAGAGGAGAUAAUUGGAAACAAGUUCACUACAGACUGCUGGGCCUCUUCCUCCCUUGAACCCACCAUGGCUUUUGGUUUGGGUCACGGGCCACGUGUCUUUACUGCCUUAAGGUCCUCUGGACAUUUAUGUAGAAGCCUCUGCUUCUAUCCCUGGUUGAUCUCCCUGCCUGUAGGUUCUGAGGCCUUCACAAACCAGCUAGUCACAGGGCCUUCCCAGGUGUAAAGGGCAAAGUCUGUCUCUGAGAGUGGUGUGCAUGGCUUCUGAGGGACACUGGCUUCAGAAAGCCAGGCGGAGGAAACAUGGAACCUGCGUGGUGGCUGAAAAGGAAAGAGGCAUUCUAGAAGAUGGCGCAGGACGUCUCUAAGUGUGGUGCGGUGACAGAGAGCUUUCUGCCGCCCUUAAGGUAGCCUUUCGAGCUCCUCGUGAAGAUCUGGAAGUUAGACAUUGGUGAGCCUGGAGCAGGAUGUGGGGGAUAAGACUGUCAGGGUACAAUAGGGAGGCUGUUUCUCUUUACCACUGGAUGGUGGUUCUGGGGGCUGAAGGAGUGCUGUGAGCCUGGGCCUUCUCCAGCACAGCCACUGCUGUGUGACGACUUUCUCCCGUGACUUGAGGAUGAUGCUUCAUGAAGGGUGAGAGGUCCCUCUUUCUAGAACUUGUUUAUUUCCCACAUACCCUCGACUCUGACCUCCAGGGCUGUGCAAGUCCCUGUAUCUCUGUGUCCUUUUUUACGAUGCACACUCCUGCGGCAUCUCUUCAAGGACUGAACAGCCACCCUCCCACUGCUGUUCCUUCCAUUCCAGCUCAUGCUGUCCUAGGUCACAGGGCCUUGAGCCCCUCCCAGAGUGCCCUGUCGGUCCACGCUAGCUAGACCUUUCCCAGAGGGGAGAGGUCUGUCCAACUGGCCUCCAUCCUAUCUUCUGCCCCUCACAUGUGUUAGACCUGCAUGGUAGUCUGCAGACCUUGCACAGUCCUCACAUGCAUCUUGCUGGGGGACCAAUUACGUGUCUACUUCUGUCUAGACACAUCUUCCUUCUCUCUUUCCUUUGUCAGCGGAGAACCUCUGCUCUUCUGUCUGCUCUCCCAAGCCACCUCAGCUCAAUAUGCAGAGAACUGGACCUUCUUACACAGGUAGGUAUCUGUCUCCAAGAGCAUCUGGGACCCUGGUCUUCUAGGUCUCAGGCCUCCAGCCAUGCUGGACCCAGAGCUAACCUUCCCUAGCAGACACCCCAAAGGACAGUGUUACUGACAAUGCCCAGGGAAACUGUCAAUGGAUUUCUCAACCAAGCAAGACAAUUUGGGGUUUGUGUGAGGGGUUUAGUAGAAGAAUUGACUGCCACUGCCUUUGAAAGGGUCAAGGCAGGUGAUGGGCAUUCCAUGGGGUCCUGAGAGGUACAGCAGAGAGCUGGCUUCCCAGAGGGCUAGACUUGUUUUGGGAAUAGAUGGCACUGUGAGUCACACUAGCCCUGCCCCAUCUAAUGGUCCAAGCUGGAUGGAGCAGAAACCCUGGCUCCUGGCAGGCACAUCACCUUCAUCCCCACACAUCUUCUUUAGUUCCCACCAUGCUGGCUGGUCUUGCCUCCUGAGGGCCUUUGCUCUCUGAUUCUUGGAGUUCCCAUCCACCUGGCUGCCUCUAUCCAAGACAGUUGUUUUCCACAUGGCUCUGAGCCAGGCUGGGUGACUCAGUUUACAGAAGAGUCCUGGAGCCUGUGGUUUAAACUCCCUGAACCUUGGACCCUUCAUCUAUAAAGCAGAGAUAAAAAUAGCUCACAUCCCCCAAAGUAGCUAGAUCAUUAAGUUAGUUAAUCCACAGAAUGUGCUCCAACAGCCCUGGACACAUGGUUGGAGGCCAGUGUGACAGAAAUGACGCGGCAGUUGUCAGGGCUAUUGUCUCCAGAGCUCCACCAGGGACAGGAACUGACGAACAGCUGGUUUCAGAGCUUCCUUUGUUCCACGGAGGAAGGGAGGCAUGAACACCUCAGGUAGAUAGAAGGCUUGUGUUUAUCAGACUCCCACGGACUAAGGAAAUGCAGGUCCUUCUGAACACGGCAGGAAUUUGGCAGUCACAGCCGCCUCCCUCCCCUGCAGCGAGGCUCCUUAUCAGAACCUUUACCACGUUGCUGCUGUCCACAGUGAGGUCACUUAUCUCUCCUUGUUACUUUCACAGGCCACUCCCAACCGCAAUCCCAGGGAAGCGGUGUGUCUGACUCCUUUCAUCCCUUCCUGAUGUGGGGUUCUCCCACCUCUCUCCACUUCCCCUCCUUCUCACAGCAUUCACACGUGCAAGCUGACCAGGUCAGAAUUGUCCCAAAUGAUCUAAAAGAGCCUUGGGCACACUAGGAAAGAGGGAGGGGACCUGGGGCAAUGAAGGGCUCUAAACAUUGGUAUUUUCCUGUGUUUAUCCACAGGCACCCUAAUACCAUACUCUGCAAACCUCCACAGGACAAGCACAGAAGCAGAUACCACAAGCACAAGAGGAGAAUGAACACCUUCUCUAGGGGACAGACACCAAGGUACUUGUAGGCUAGGCCCAAUAGAACCCAGAGAGUCGGGGGAAGUGGACGGUCCUUCUCAUACUCAAGCUGAGAGUUUGAAAGAUUCUGACUUGCUUAGUCUACACCAGCGCCACCCACAAGGACAGCCUGUAACAAUGGAUUCCAUGUGGCUUCCAUACUUAGAAAUCUGUCUACUGGAAGGAACGGGGUGAAACUUUAUUUAACUUCAAUUUAAUGGAAGUAGCCACCUGUGGCUGGUGGUGGCCACAUUGGAAAUCGUGGAAUUAGACAUUUGAUUUUUACAACCUAAGUCUCCUCUUCAGCUUCACACUUAAAACAAGAACCCCCAGAAGCUGAGGGUCUCACAAAGAAGGGACAGGUGAACCUGUAAAGUUCUGGAAUGUUGUGGGAAAUGGCACUCAUUCUGGGUGGGAGGAGUUAAAGGUGUGGAGGUGUUUAUAAGGCACAGUGGGAAGGUGACAUUGAAAAGGGGGGACAAGAAAACCAAGGGGGAGAGUUCAACUGAUAUGGCCACAUCAGAGGUGCUGGGAAUCACACUACAGUUGGCAGAAUUUUGAAAAAUAUUUUUUAGACGAUUCAUAUAUUUGUCACCCCCAUAUGUUUCUCAUCAGCAAACCUUUAAAAUGCAAAGAGAGUUGUUUUCUGGAAUUAGGAGGAAGGAGGGUCCAGGAAGAAUGUGUCCCUCUCUACAGCAGACGGAGGAGGAGGAGGGUCCAGGAAGAAUGUGUCCCUCUCUACAGCAGACGGAGGAGGUGACCCUAGCAGAACGCAGCAGGUGGGGGAAGAACUCAGGUGCAGAUGGGGGGUGGGCAGGGGGAGUUGGCACUCUGUGUUAGUGGGGGAUGGAGAGCAGGGAAGGGGAACAAUGGGUGCCUCCUCAGGAAAGACAUCCGGACAGACAUGCAUGCAUACUCAUCCCCACCUGGGGCUUUUGUGACACUACUUACCAAAAGGAAGGAGCUGUUUCCAUGAGGACACAAAGCUUCCGAGCAGAGUGGAUGGUCCACUCCUAAUAGGCAGUGGGAGGCUGGGUGUGAGGCUGAAGCAGAAUCCUUCAGUGCCAAAGCAAGGACUGGGAGGAACCGUGAAGGAAGUCUAGCAUUGUCUCCACUCAUACUUCCACCCUUUGGAACUUGGUCCCCCAAGAGGCCCCCUGACACUCUUGGUCUAGCCUGAGCACAUUCGUGAAUUGUUGGUUGGGUCAGUAACAUGCUGUCAGGAAUAGUAGACCUUAGCAUGGACCCCCAUGUGUGAGUCUGUCAUCUCAUGGGUCCUUCAAUCUCAGGGUUACUUUGGAAUCCACAGCUGCCCUGUUGGGACCUGUUCAAAGUGAGAUCUCCUCUAUGGCCCUUAGGAUGCUCUUUUUUGGAGUUCAGGUGAGGUCUAGGCUGCUCAGACCUAGGGGAGCUCCUACUUCUACUUUCAGCAAGGGCUGGAAGUCAGGCUUCCUCCAUCCUGGAUAGCUAGAUGCUACCUGGAGCCACAAGAAGUGACAUCAGCUCAAAUGAUCAGCCAAGCGGGCACCUGACAUUUCAGGAUGCUGUCAUUCGCUGUCCCAUUAGUGAUCUUCACCUAAGUGUCCUAUAGAUGCAGACGUGGGAAGUUCUUCCCUGCUAGGGGACACCCAGCAGACUCAUGGACAUCAGUGGCUUGCUGUGCACUCAAGCAAAGCUCCUGGUUGUGCAGCUUCCUCUCCCCUCUGCAAUCCUAGGGGCUCUCAUGGUCUCCCCUGGAGCCUCCCUGUCCUCCUCAUGGCUGGAGCACCCCUGCUCAGGCGGUGUGCUCACAUGACUUCCUUUCUAACAAUACUUCUCUUUCUUAGCCACCUUGCCAUCGUCUCCCAGCUCCCUGCUUAAUCUUGAAUUACUCAGGGCAAGCGCCGUGCCUACUCCAGCUGAGCUGAAUCCCUUCUCCCUGUGCCCAGCUUCUCCCGCAUCCUUCUUUUGUAAUUAUUAUGCCUGGAGUCUUAUUUUUAAGACUCUCUGAUGGAUGCCAUUCUCCUGGCUGGGAUGCAGCUUCCCCGGGGGCAGAGAAUGGUGCCCAUCUUGCUCACCAUGGCACCCAAAAGGCUGAUGCAACUGCCUGGCAGAUGUUACAUGCUCAGGAGCUGCUGGGUAAGUGGAUGAUAAAAUGCCCCAUUCUUCUUUCUGUCCCCACAAAGGUAGACCCUAGGGUGCCUGCCCAUCCUCAGGGGAGGAAGGCGCACUAUCAUCCACAGAUGUGACCCCCACACCUGGAGCCAUGGAGAUCUCCAGAAGAUGACUGCAGGCUGCCCCAGACUUGAAAAAUCAUGAUGGCAGCAGUUGUUUUCUCCUCCACAACGCCAUGGACCUGCAGGUCCCGAACGGCAGAGUUGGCGAACUGAAGCACACAAGCUGAGACCAGGUUGUGAACUUGUCCCUAAGGGAACCUACUAAUGCCCAAAGGAGUCAUCACUAAGUUCCAGUCAUCAACUGUCAAGCCCUGCUCCUCCGAUCUCAGAACCCCACAGAGCCAGCUCCAUCUUCAGCAGGAGCCCUGUCACAUUGACAACAGCAAUGGGCCUUGGAUCAUUACCCAUUAGAACUGGAUAUUCAUCAUGGGACAAAACCCGCUUUGAAAGUUCAAUUGCAGCCUUCUGACAAAUGGAGAAUUGAGAGAGCCUGUUACUUCUCAUGAUCUGAGUCUGCCUUGGGAUUAGAACUGGCGGCUCUCACCCCAACAACGUGUGGCAGAGAGGCUACGCUGUAUGAUAAAGACCCCCUCCAGGGCUGCGGAUGGAGCUCAGAUGAUGGAUGCUUGCCUAGCACACAUAAAGCCCUCGAUUUAUGCCCAGCACCACAUAAGCUAGUCAUGGGGAUGUAGACCUGUAAUCUCAACACUCAGGAGGUAGAGGCAGGAGGAUCAGAAGUUUGAGGUCAUUCUCUGCUAUAUACUGAAAUUGAGGCCAUGUAGGCUAUACGAGACCCUGCCUUCAAACAAAUGAACAAACAGCAACAAAACCUUUCUAUGACAUCUGGUCCAUAGUGUUCCUCUGGAGGCCUCCUCCCAGCUCUUAGCUUUUCUGUGUCAGGGAAUACUUCUUUGGAGAUGUUAAAAUUCUAGGGAGAGAUCUACUUUGCUCCACCAUGGACCUUUGCCACUGCCUCAUAGUGUCGUGGCUGAAGAGCCCAGACUCUCAGCUGGGGCCUUGCCGGUGGGCAGCUUUGUUCUAAGAGCAGCCAGUCACUCACAACCCACAGCCUCUGGUCAGGCAGACACUGGAGGGGACCAGGCCUCUCACCAACCAU